rfam:Pseudallescheria apiosperma strain IHEM 14462 SEQ_SAPIO_0126, whole genome shotgun sequence.
GCUUCUAUAGCUCAAUGGUAGAGCUUGAUACUGUUAAUAUCAUGAUAGAUGUUCGAUUCAUCUUAGGGGCG